UAGGGAAUCUUCGGCAAUGGACGAAAGUCUGACCGAGCAACGCCGCGUGAGUGAAGAAGGUUUUCGGAUCGUAAAACUCUGUUGUUAGAGAAGAACAAGGACGUUAGUAACUGAACGUCCCCUGACGGUAUCUAACCAGAAAGCCACGGCUAACUACGUGCCAGCAGCCGCGGUAAUACGUAGGUGGCAAGCGUUGUCCGGAUUUAUUGGGCGUAAAGCGAGCGCAGGCGGUUUCUUAAGUCUGAUGUGAAAGCCCCCGGCUCAACCGGGGAGGGUCAUUGGAAACUGGGAGACUUGAGUGCAGAAGAGGAGAGUGGAAUUCCAUGUGUAGCAGUGAAAUGCGUAGAUAUAUGGAGGAACACCAGUGGAGAAGGCGGCUCUCUGGUCUGUAACUGACGCUGAGGCUCGAAAGCGUGGGGGGCAAACAGG
rnacentral:rRNA from 1 species